rnacentral:misc_RNA from 1 species
UAAGUAGACGCUUAAUAUCUACCCUUUGUGAAUUUGUUGUUUUGAAAUAAUUUUUUUUAAAUUAUUGAUUGUCUUUCCCUGUUGAAUUGGUUGUUUAACGCAAAUGAUUCGCAGGGGAGUGUCAGUAAUUUUUAAAAGACCUUUUUUAAAAUUAAACUUUUUGUAUUCAUUUGUCUAAAAUUAUUUUAAAUAUAAAAACAACUUUGACAACGGAUCUCUUGGUUCUCGCAACGAUGAAGAACGCAGCAAAUGCGAUAGUGUGAAUUGCAGAUACGUGAAUCAUCGAAUCUUCGAACGCAUAUUGCACUUUUUUAGUUUACUAAAAAGUAUGUCUGUUUGAGUAUCAGUAAAUAUCUCAUAAAAACUUUUUGUUUUUAUGGUUAUGAGUGUUUUACAACGAUACAAGUUGUUUCACUUUAAAUUUUUUUUAAAUUUGAAUUUUUCUAAUUUUAAAAUAAAAUGGAUAAAACUUUCCCGUAAAAAGGAAUACCUAAAACAAUUUUAAUUUUUUGAUUAGAAUUCUUCAAUUAAGAAGGAAAUUUAACUAAAUAACUUGAUCUCAAAUCAGAUAAGAGUACCCGCUGAACUUAAGCUUAUCAAUAAGCAGAGGAAAAGAAACUAACAAGGAUCCCUUAGUAACGGCGAGUGAAGCGGGAAGAGCUCAAAUUUGAAAUUUCAAGGUUUUACCUUGACGAAUUGUAGUUUAAAGAAGUGUUUCUGUUGAGUUUUGGUAAAAGUUCUUUGAAUAGGACAUCAUAGAGGGUGAAUCCCGUAUUGACCAUUAUUUCAGCUGUGUGAUACACUUUCAAAGAGUCGGAUUGUUUGGGAAUGCAGUCCAAAAUGGGUGGUAAUUUCAUCUAAAGCUAAUAUUGGCGAGAGACCGAUAGCGAACAGUACCGUGAGGAAAGAUGAAAGACUUUGAAAGAGAGUUAAACAGUACGUGAAAUUGUCAAAGGGAAGCGUUUGACACCAGUGUUGUUUUCUCGAAAAUCAAUUAAAAAAGUUGGAUUUUGUGUUGUAUUGACCUAACAGCUUGCUUCACUCUUUUCUUGCUUUUUUAAUGCACUUUUCGUUAAAAGUCAACAUCAGUUCUUUUGUUGUAAAAGGGUCAUUGAAGUGCUUUCUCUUCGGGAAAGUGUUUAUAGCUUUGAUCUCUGCAAUCGGAGAGACUGAGGUCUGCAGCGUAGAUCCUUCGGGUUAGAUACAUUGUGCUAAGCUACAGCUUUCAUAGACAACUUGUUGACUAUGUUAGUCUGUAACUUACCCGUUAUGCUAUUUUACCUACGCUGGAUGUUGA